rnacentral:lncRNA from 1 species
UGAUGUACCAAAUUUUUCUUUAGUAAGACUGUUCUAAUUUACAUUCCCACCAGCCAAGUAGGAGUAUGCCCGUUUCUCCACAAUUUUGCCAACAGAAUUUGUUGUCAUAUUUUAAAAUUUGUGCCAAUGUGAUAGGUGAGAAAUGGUAUUUCAGUGUUGUUUCAAUUUGUGCUUUUCUAAUUAAGAGUUUUAACAUUUUCCGAUAUGUUAGAUUAUUGUGUCAUACAAUGUUUUCAAUUUUUAAUUUUUGUGUAGUCAAAUUGUUCGAUCUUUUACUGCCUCUGUAUUUUGAGUAAUAGUUGGAAAGCCUUUUCAUACUCAGAGUUAAGGAAGAAUUCUCUCACGUUUUCUUCUAGUACUUGCAUGGUUUUAUUUUUCUCUUCCCAAUUUAUUUGGAGUUUAUUCUUUUGUAUUGUGAGACAUGGAUCUGAUUUUAUUUUCCCAAAUGACCACGCAAUUGUUCCAGCAUUAUUUAUUAAAAAGUUUAUCAUUACCCUAGUGAUUUGAAAUGCCACCUUUGUCAUAUACCUGAAUUUCCAUCUGUACAUGGGUUUAAUUCUAGAGUUUCUGUAUUCUACUGGUCUGUCUGUCCAUGCACUAGUACUUCAUGAUUUUAAUUAUAGAGAUUUUAGUGUGUUUUAAUGUCUGAGGAGGUAGUAUUCCUCUGUGGGUUUUUUUCAUUUUUUUUUUUUUAACAUGUUAUUGUAUAUUUGUUUUUCUAUCUGAACUUUAGUACCAGUUUGUCUACUUUCAUAAAAUCGCUUAUUGGUAUUUUAUUGUGAUUGCAUUGAAUUUGUACAUUAACUUAGGGAGACCAAUAUUUGUAUAAUGUUCAGUCAUCUUAUCCAAUAAUAGGGGAUGUUCUAUUAGUUUAUGUAUUCUUAAAUCUCUUUUAGAAUUGCUUGAAAAUAUUCCUCUUAGAUGUUUUGCACAUUUUUUGU